CUGCCAUCCGAACUUGAGCUGUCUCCCACUUUUCUUCUAACAAGUCGACGUUGGCCUUGAGAUCCUAUGAGUUGCGCUGCUCGUUGAAUGCCAUGACUCGCAUCGAUGGAAGCUUAAGCUCAAUCGAGAUAACGAAUUCUAUUUCGAAGGCUAAGGCAAAGGGGGUCUCUCCCGUGGGCAAUAUUUGGGUAGUUUGAUAUGCCCAUAACACAUGAUAAAGCUCGUCCGCCCAAGUUCCCUUUGCUUUUUCAAGUCUCGCCUUGAUUCCUUACAACAGAGUCCUGUUAGUCACCUCGGCUUCGCCAUUUGCCUGC
rnacentral:lncRNA from 1 species